GCACCGAUGGCGAAGUGGCUAACGCGCUGGUCUGCAAAAUCAGUAUUCGCGGGUUCGAUUCCCGCUCGGUGCUCCA
rnacentral:tRNA from 1 species